GCGCUCCAAAUACUUAAUACUUAUCAGCGUCCACUGCAGCUGACACAGAGGCGCACUGAGGGAGAGGUGUGUGCUACUCCAAGGAGAAAAUGAGGGUGUCCCUCGCCUGUACCCAGUCAGACGAGUGUCUCAGCUAUCCAGGAACUCCUGAGGACAAGGGUGCAGAGCCUUGGCUUCCCGGCUGGACACAGCGAACGAGAGAAUUGAGAACGGAGCAGCAGUUCUCAACCUGGGCUGCAAGGUGGAAUCACCUGGGGAGCUUUAAGAGCCACCCAUGCCUGGAUCCUACCCUCAGAGUCUGCUGUAGCUGGCUGCAGUGUGGCCUGGACAUCAGGGUUUUUAAAAGCUCCUAAGCGAUCCUAAUGUGUCCUCAAGCCACGGCUGGCUGAGCCAGGAAGAGUCCACUGCACACCUCACUUGACUGAGGCUCUGAGUGGCCAGGCCCCUGCCUGGGGUAAUAUGGCUGGAAGGGGCAGAGCAGAGCCUGCCAGAGUUCCUCCAUCACCUUGCUUGGCUCCUCCCCCUCUCCAGCCCCUGGGGGUGCCGGGGGUUGGGGGAGAUGGGCAUAACCCGUCUGUCUCUUACCUUUUCCUAAGUCCCCUCUGGGUUUGGUCCUGGGGUUGAGUUCUGUGUUAACCUGUUCCAAGCAACAGCUCCUUUCUGACCCUCAGUCUUCUCAUCUAUAAUUUGGAGAUAACAGGACCCACCUCAAAGGGUUGGGCUGACAAAUAAAUGAGUUAAUAGAUGUUAAGGGCUUCGCAUGGUGCCUGGCACUUGGUUAAGCCUUCAGUAAAUGCUACCUAUUAGCAUUCCCAUUGCUAUCAUUACCACAAAGAGUAAACAAACAACAGGGUUUGACUGGCAUUUGGGGGAGUGGGGCAGCCCAGUGACAUACAUAGUGGGUUGAAUGGUGGCUCCCCAAAAGAUAUGUCCACAUCUUAACCCCCAGAACCUCUGAAUGCGACCUUAUUUGGAAAAAGGGGGUCUUUGUAAAUAUAAUUAAGGAUCUCCAGGUGAGCUCAAUCUAGAUUAUCCAGGUGGGCCCUAAAUCCAAUGACAAGUGUCCUUAUAAGAAACAGA
rnacentral:lncRNA from 1 species